rnacentral:rRNA from 1 species
GAUGAACGCUGGCGGCGUGCCUAAUACAUGCAAGUCGAGCGAACAGAUGAGGAGCUUGCUCCUCUGACGUUAGCGGCGGACGGGUGAGUAACACGUGGAUAACCUACCUAUAAGACUGGGAUAACUUCGGGAAACCGGAGCUAAUACCGGAUAAUAUAUUGAACCGCAUGGUUCAAUAGUGAAAGACGGUUUUGCUGUCACUUAUAGAUGGAUCCGCGCCGCAUUAGAUAGUUGGUAAGGUAACGGCUUACCAAGGCAACGAUGCGUAGCCGACCUGAGAGGGUGAUCGGCCACACUGGAACUGAGACACGGACCAGACUCCUACGGGAGGCAGCAGUAGGGAAUCUUCCGCAAUGGGCGAAAGCCUGACGGAACAACGCCGCGUGAGUGAUGAAGGUCUUCGGAUCGUAAAACUCUGUUAUUAGGGAAGAACAAAUGUGUAAGUAACUAUGCACGUCUUGACGGUACCUAAUCAGAAAGCCACGGCUAACUACGUG